AUUGAACGCUGGCGGCAUGCCUUGCACAUGCAAGUCGAACGGCAGCGCGGGUGCUUGCACCUGGCGGCGAGUGGCGAACGGGUGAGUAAUAUACCGGAACGUGCCCUAGAGUGGGGGAUAACUAGUCGAAAGAUUAGCUAAUACCGCAUACGAUCUACGGAUGAAAGUGGGGGAUCGCAAGACCUCAUGCUCCUGGAGCGGCCGAUAUCUGAUUAGCUAGUUGGUGGGGUAAAAGCCUACCAAGGCGACGAUCAGUAGCUGGUCUGAGAGGACGACCAGCCACACUGGGACUGAGACACGGCCCAGACUCCUACGGGAGGCAGCAGUGGGGAAUUUUGGACAAUGGGGGCAACCCUGAUCCAGCAAUGCCGCGUGUGUGAAGAAGGCCUUCGGGUUGUAAAGCACUUUUGUCAGGAAUGAAACGGUGAGGGCUAAUAUCCUUUGCUAAUGACGGUACCUGAAGAAUAAGCACCGGCUAACUCCGUGCCAGCCGCCGCCGUAA
rnacentral:rRNA from 1 species